rnacentral:rRNA from 1 species
CCUACGGGUGGCAGCAGUGAGGAAUAUUGGUCAAUGGACGAGAGUCUGAACCAGCCAAGUAGCGUGAAGGAUGACUGCCCUAUGGGUUGUAAACUUCUUUUAUAUGGGAAUAAAAUGUUCCACGUGUGGGAUUUUGUAUGUACCAUAUGAAUAAGGAUCGGCUAACUCCGUGCCAGCAGCCGCGGUAAUACGGAGGAUCCGAGCGUUAUCCGGAUUUAUUGGGUUUAAAGGGAGCGUCGGUGGAUUGUUAAGUCAGUUGUGAAAGUUUGCGGCUCAACCGUAAAAUUGCAGUUGAAACUGGCAGUCUUGAGUACAGUAGAGGUGGGCGGAAUUCGUGGUGUAGCGGUGAAAUGCUUAGAUAUCACGAAGAACUCCGAUUGCGAAGGCAGUUCACUGGACUGCAACUGACGCUGAGGCUCGAAAGUGUGGGUAUCAAACAGGAUUAGAUACCCCAGUAGUC